GUGUUAUGUCAGUCUUAUGCACACCCCUUCAAAUAAAGUGUUACCGAAUAUUCUUUAAACAAAAAACAUCCUCUUUCUAUGGUGCCAAAAUAAACUGUGCUAAGUGAAACAAAACAUAUUUCAAUAAAUAACACAUUUUAUCCUCAUCCAUUAAAUAAAAGAAAUCUGGAUAAACGUCAAGUAUUUUAGUAAAUAAAUAAUUUCUUAAAGUCAGGUACAAAGGACAAUACAACAAAAAGUGCACUUCACUCUCAAUUUCCCCCCAAAUCACACAAUGAACAUCGUCGGUCUUCCUCUGGGACUGAACAAAAACGUCCGGUUUCUGGCAAAGUGCCAGAUCUAAACUGUAAUAAUAGUCACACAUUAAUAAUGUGUGACUAUUAUUAAUUAUUGAAUUAUUUUUUCACUAUAUUCAACUUGGACUUUUUUUUUUACACAGCAUGAAGCUGUUCUCAUGUUGGCUCCUUUAACACCAAUGUGUGUCAUUUAUUGAUUCCAAAGUUUCUACUGAAUAAACUUUGGUUGAGUAUGGUAGUAACCACAACAUCUUUAUAGUCAUAUUGGCAUAUGAACAGAUGUAAACAUGUCCCUCCAGGAGGACACGCAGAGGAAGCCCAGGACAGGCUGGAGGGACAGAGUCCCUCAAAUUAACCAAAGACUCCGAGAAGUCACUAUGAGCUACCAGUUUAGUCCAAUUAUUAA